rnacentral:lncRNA from 1 species
AGAAAAUCAAGAAGAGGGAAGACCAAUGGGUGGAUACUUCGUUCCUCCUUAAAAUACCCAUGAAAGGAGUUACAGAGACAAAGUUUGGACCUAAGACAAAAGGAUGGACUAUCCAGAGACUACCCCACCCAGGGAUACAUCCCAUAAUCAGCCACCAAACCCAGACACUAUUGCAUAUGCCAGCAAGUUUUUGAUGAAGGGACCCUGGUAUAGCUAUAUGAGGCUAUGCCAGUGCCUGGCAAAUACAAAAGUGGAUGCUCACUAUCAUGUAUAAGACGGAACACAGGGCCCCCAAUGGAGAAGGUAGAGAAAGCACCCAAGGAGCUGAAGGGGUCUGCAACCGUAUAGGAGGAACAACAAUAUGAACUAACCAGUACCCCCAGAGCUCGUGUCUCUAGCUGCAUAUGUAGCAGAAGAUGGCCUAGUUGGCCAUCACUGGGAAGAGAGGCCCCUUGGUAUUGCAAACUUUAUAUGCCCCAGUACAGGGGAACACCAGGGCCAAGAAGUGGGAGUGUGUGGGUAGGGGAGCAGGGCAGAGGGUGUGUAUAGGGAACUUUUGGGAUAGCAUUUGAAAUUUGAAAUGUAUAUAAAGAAAUAUAUAAUAAAAAUGUUCAAAAAAAAAAAAGAAAAAGAAAAUAACCCUAGCUUCUCUAUCUCUGUCCACCUCUCUGCCCCUCUCCUUCCCUUCUCCUUCUCUUAAUCCAUACCUUAUUCUCUCUCCCUCUUUCUCCUUUGGUGUGUGUGUGUAUGUAUGUGGUAUGUACAUGUAUGUGUGUACUUAUGAUGAAACAUUCACCCAUGCAUGCAUACGUGAAUGCCAGGUGAUGAUAUUUAAUGUCUUUCCCUGUUACUUUGCACUUCAGUUUUCCAAGAUAAGGUUUCUUAUAGAGUCCACAGUUCAUGGUUUUCGCUAGAGCGGCUGGCCAGUGGGCUCCUGUGACCCACUUGUGUCAGUUCUGGGCCUCAGCACUGGGUUUCCAGGCUAUUUUUAAUGUGGGUUCUACUGACAUGAACUCAGAGCCUCAUGUUUGCACAAGCAUUUUACCCACUGAGCCGUCUCCAGCUCAGGAACCUGGACUCUGC